AACGAACGCUGGCGGCAGGCCUAACACAUGCAAGUCGAGCGGACCUUUCGGGGUCAGCGGCGGACGGGUGAGUAACGCGUGGGAAUAUGCCCUUCUCUACGGAAUAGUCCUGGGAAACUGGGGGUAAUACCGUAUACGCCCUUGGGGGGAAAGAUUUAUCGGGGAAGGAUUAGCCCGCGUUGGAUUAGGUAGUUGGUGGGGUAAUGGCCUACCAAGCCGACGAUCCAUAGCUGGUUUGAGAGGAUGAUCAGCCACACUGGGACUGAGACACGGCCCAGACUCCUACGGGAGGCAGCAGUGGGGAAUCUUAGACAAUGGGGGCAACCCUGAUCUAGCCAUGCCGCGUGAGUGAUGAAGGCCUUAGGGUUGUAAAGCUCUUUCAGCUGGGAAGAUAAUGACGGUACCAGCAGAAGAAGCCCCGGCUAACUCCGUG
rnacentral:rRNA from 1 species